rnacentral:rRNA from 1 species
UGAGGAAUAUUGGUCAAUGGACGAGAGUCUGAACCAGCCAAGUAGCGUGCAGGAUGACGGCCCUAUGGGUUGUAAACUGCUUUUGUUUGGGAAUAAUCGACAUUACGUGUAAUGUUUUGCAUGUACCAUUCGAAUAAGGACCGGCUAAUUCCGUGCCAGCAGCCGCGGUAAUACGGAAGGUCCAGGCGUUAUCCGGAUUUAUUGGGUUUAAAGGGAGUGUAGGCGGUUGGUUAAGCGUGUUGUGAAAUGUAGAUGCUCAACAUCUGACUUGCAGCGCGAACUGGCUGACUUGAGUACACACAACGUAGGCGGAAUUCAUGGUGUAGCGGUGAAAUGCUUAGAUAUCAUGAAGAACUCCGAUUGCGAAGGCAGCUUACGGGGGCGCAACUGACGCUGAAGCUCGAAGGUGCGGGUAUCGAACAGG